CCUUUAAUUCACUAAGCAUAUUAUAUAUCAGCGUAUAUAUUAAUCAUUUUCAAAAAUCUCACCAUCUUCAUUGCAUUUUCAGGGUUUAUAAAAUUGUCGAUGUAGUUGGGCAGUAUACCGUUUAUCAAUCGCUCGUUAUUGUAUAGUGGGCAAUGGCUUAUAAUAUGAGUAACCGUGAUGGCCGUAUUGCAGUGAUUACAUUGUCUUGACGGUGCAUUUUCACGUUGUCCUCUCUCGAAGCAUCUUGUAGCGUGUAUAGUGUCGUUGGAAUAGGUUUUAUCUGCGACAGGUGCCUUCUGAUGUCACUUGCCACCAUGAAAUUUACAUCUGUCUGCUGGUUCGAUAUCGCU